rnacentral:rRNA from 1 species
AUACAGAGAGUGCAAGCGUUAAUCGGAAUUACUGGGCGUAAAGCGCGCGUAGGUGGAUUUUUAAGUCGGAUGUGAAAGCCCUGGGCUUAACCUAGGAAUUGCAUUCGAAACUGGAUGUCUAGAGUAUAGUAGAGGGAAGUGGAAUUUCAGGUGUAGCGGUGAAAUGCGUAGAUAUCUGAAGGAACACCAGUGGCGAAGGCGACUUCCUGGACUAAUACUGACACUGAGGUGCGAAAGCGUGGGAGCAAACAGGAUUAGAAACCCUAGUAGUCC